rnacentral:rRNA from 1 species
UAGGGAAUCUUCCACAAUGGACGCAAGUCUGAUGGAGCAACGCCGCGUGAGUGAAGAAGGUCUUCGGAUCGUAAAGCUCUGUUGUUGGUGAAGAAGGAUAGAGGCAGUAACUGGUCUUUAUUUGACGGUAAUCAACCAGAAAGUCACGGCUAACUACGUGCCAGCAGCCGCGGUAAUACGUAGGUGGCAAGCGUUGUCCGGAUUUAUUGGGCGUAAAGCGAGCGCAGGCGGAAUGAUAAGUCUGAUGUGAAAGCCCACGGCUCAACCGUGGAACUGCAUCGGAAACUGUCAUUCUUGAGUGCAGAAGAGGAGAGUGGAACUCCAUGUGUAGCGGUGGAAUGCGUAGAUAUACGGAAGAACACCAGUGGCGAAGGCGGCUCUCUGGUCUGCAACUGACGCUGAGGCUCGAAAGCAUGGGUAGCGAACAGGAUUAGAUACCCUGGUAGUCCAUGCCGUAAACGAUGAGCGCUAGGUGUUGGGGACUUUCCGGUUCUCAGUGCCGCAGCAAACGCAUUAAGCGCUCCGCCUGGGGAGUACGACCGCAAGGUUGAAAC